AGUGAACGCUGGCGGUAGGCCUAACACAUGCAAGUCGAACGGCAGCACAGUAAGAGCUUGCUCUUACGGGUGGCGAGUGGCGGACGGGUGAGGAAUACAUCGGAAUCUACUUUUUCGUGGGGGGGGACGUAGGGAAACUUACGCUAAUACCGCAUACGACCUAAGGGUGAAAGCAGGGGAUCUUCGGACCUUGCGCGAUUGAAUGAGCCGAUGUCGGAUUAGCUAGUUGGCGGGGUAAAGGCCCACCAAGGCGACGAUCCGUAGCUGGUCUGAGAGGAUGAUCAGCCACACUGGAACUGAGACACGGUCCAGACUCCUACGGGAGGCAGCAGUGGGGAAUAUUGGACAAUGGGCGCAAGCCUGAUCCAGCCAUACCGCGUGGGUGAAGAAGGCCUUCGGGUUGUAAAGCCCUUUUGUUGGGAAAGAAAAGCAGCAGGUUAAUACCCCGCUGUUCUGACGGUACCCAAAGAAUAAGCACCGGCUAACUUCGUG
rnacentral:rRNA from 1 species